GCAAGGAAUAUUGCGCAAUGGGCGAAAGCCUGACGCAGCGACGCCGCGUGAGGGAUGACGGCCUUCGGGUUGUAAACCUCUUUUCUCAGGGAAGAAUAAUGACGGUACCUGAGGAAUAAGCCUCGGCCAACUACGUGCCAGCAGCCGCGGUAAUACGUAGGAGGCGAGCGUUAUCCGGAUUUACUGGGCGUAAAGUGGGUGUAGGCGGCCCUUCAAGUCGGGUAUGAAAUCUCCUGGCUUAACUAGGAGGAGUUAUCCGAUACUGCUGGGCUAGAGUGCAGCAGAGGGAGGUGGAAUUCCCGGUGUAGUGGUGAAAUGCGUAGAUAUCGGGAGGAACACCAGUGGCGAAAGCGGCCUCCUGGGCUGUUACUGACGCUGAGGCCCGAAAGCGUGGGGAGCGAACAGGAUUAGAAACCCCAGUAGUCC
rnacentral:rRNA from 1 species